AUUGAACGCUGGCGGCAUGCCUUACACAUGCAAGUCGAACGGUAACAGGUUAAGCUGACGAGAGGCGAACGGGUGAGUAAUGUAUCGGAACGUGCCCAGUCGUGGGGGAUAACUGCUCGAAAGAGCAGCUAAUACCGCAUACGACCUGAGGGUGAAAGCGGGGGAUCGCAAGACCUCGCGCGAUUGGAGCGGCCGAUAUCAGAUUAGGUAGGUGGUGGGGCAAAGGCCUACCAAGCCUACGAUCAGUAGCUGGUCUGAGAGGACGACCAGCCACACGGGGACUGAGAAACGGCCCAGACUCAUACGGGAGGCAGCGGUGGGGAAUUUUGGACGAUGGACGCAAGUCUGAUCCAGCCAUGCCGCGUGCGGGAAGAAGGCCUUCGGGUUGUAAACCGCUUUUGUCAGGGAAGAAAAGGUUCUGGUUAAUACCUGGGACUCAUGACGGUACCUGAAGAAUAAGCACCGGCUAACUACGUGCCAGCAGCCGCCGUAA
rnacentral:rRNA from 1 species